AGCUUUGUGCAGUGGCAGUAUCAUAGCCAAUGAAGUUUGUCCGAGGUGCAAUUAUUGCUAAUUGAAAUUACACGAUGAAACAAAAUAAACCUUAUCUCAUUCAAGUAAAAAAAAUAAAAUAGCGCUUGCUUCAGCAGCACAUAUACAAAAAUUAGAAUGAUACAGAGAAAAUUAGCAUGGCCUUUGCAUGAGGA
rnacentral:snRNA from 1 species